UUGCAGUCAUAAUAGGCCUUUUUUUUUAGAGAGAUAGGUAGCAUGCUACCCGCUUCGUUUAUUUCAUUUAGAAAUAAACUUAGCUGAAAAUGUGAAUCAACUAGAAUUCGAACUUGGGUCUCGGGUACCAACCACCAAAUCCUUUGCCACUUACUCUAGGGACGGUCGGUAUAAUAGGCCUUAUUCAUCAGGUAAUAAUAGUUGUUUUUAGUCCUUAAUU
rnacentral:lncRNA from 1 species